rnacentral:rRNA from 1 species
UACAGAGGUGGCAAGCGUUGUUCGGAUUUACUGGGCGUAAAGGGCGCGUAGGCGGCCAGCACAAGUCAGUUGUGAAAUCUCCGAGCUUAACUCGGAAAGGUCAACUGAUACUGUGCGGCUAGAGUGCGGAAGGGGCAACUGGAAUUCUUGGUGUAGCGGUGAAAUGCGUAGAUAUCAAGAGGAACACCUGCGGCGAAGGCGGGUUGCUGGGCCGACACUGACGCUGAGGCGCGAAGGCGUGGGGAGCGAACGGG